rnacentral:rRNA from 1 species
GACGUAGGUGGCAAGCGUUGUUCGGAAUUACUGGGCGUAAAGGGCGCGUAGGCGGCCUGUUAAGUCGGACGUGAAAUCCCUCGGCUCAACCGGGGAACUGCGUCCGAUACUGGCGGGCUUGAAUUCGGGAGAGGGAUGUGGAAUUCCAGGUGUAGCGGUGAAAUGCGUAGAUAUCUGGAGGAACACCGGUGGCGAAGGCGGCAUCCUGGACCGACAUUGACGCUGAGGCGCGAAAGCCAGGGGAGCAAACGGG